rnacentral:lncRNA from 1 species
UCAGCUGGAGCUCGGUUGGGACAUCUGAUGGAGCGGAAUGGCUCUCUAUCCAAUCGAUCUAGGAGAAGCUCGGAUGUUUCCGAAACUGCUGAUGAGCCUACUGUUGUCAGAUACCUUAGGCACUGAUACUACAGGUGGAAGUCAUCUGCCGUAGAAGCUCGGAUGGAGACUUUUCAUCGGUGAAGUCCGAUAGGAGUCCGAUUGCUAGG